AAACGGGUCAACGUGACCUGAAACAGCAAACCGUAGAUUUUAGAAAGCACUUUGAAACGAUUACACUCACCAUUCAAGUUCAUGCAAGAAUGAGUUCAGAAGAAUAACCACAGUUCCCCUGGAGCCAACCUUUCUGCAAACACUGGACCUCUAAACUCCAAAGCUCCUAAAUUUGUUUAAAAUGAAGGGUGGGGAUGCAGGCAUAAAAAUAAGAAAUAUGCUAGAUUUUCUCUGGCAGCGAGUUGAAGAUAAGAGAGAUGCUGUGAUUCGGUGCCUGCUUUCCUAUCUGGGAGAAUCAUCUGAGGAGCUCAUUGAAGCCUAUCAGAUACAUUAAUAGAUAAAUUCAAAUUUCAUUUUGACUUAUGUGUACAGUACUGCAAAAGUCUAAGGCACAUUAGUAUUUUCAUCCUAGUUUACAUUAAUAACAUUCAUUUUGCCAUUAUUUGUAAUAUUCAAGUGAGAUUUUUGUAUGCACAGGGAGUCAUACAGUUGGUGCUCCACAGAAGUUCUGAUCUCACAUUUCAGCCUAAAUCAAGAAAAACUGUGGCAAUAUCUCCAAAAUGUUAAAAAAAAAAACAUCUAAAAAAGAAAUUUGUGUCAUUUAUUACUCACCCUCAUGCCAUUUCAAACCCGUAAGACCAUCGUUCAUCUCCAGAACACAAAUUAAAACAAUUUUGGUGAGUAUUCUCGUCGCUUCACAACAUUAAGGUUGAACCACUGUUGUCACAUUCUCUAUUUUAACAAUGUUUUUACUACCUUUCUGGGCCU